CCCCUUCGGAAUCUGCUUUCCUUUCUCACGGACUUACCUUUUGAACAUGCGUGUACCAAAUGGUAUUUUAUAAGUCGUAGUCUUCUCGUAUCAAAACGAGUCCUGGCCGCCAGCAGAACGUCUGAUCAGCCUAGGUGAUCGGCCUGCCCAGAGAGAGCUGCUGUCAUUUCCACUUGAGGAUGCGUGUGGGCUUGGUCACUUUGUGCAGCCUGGUGGUGUGAGUGAGGUCUCAGCCUUAGGUGGGCUUCUGAAGGGUGACCUAUGACUCCUCUCUUCUCUGAGAGUACCUGGGUGGAGCGUACUGGGGUCCCAGGAUGAUGGAUGAUGGGCCACUUUCUACUGGGGCGGGCAGUGAAGACUUCAUCUGGAGGUGCUUGUCUUAUCCGCAGGGACUGUCUGUCUCAACCACGUGAGCAGCGUUAAGGCCGCUCUGCAGCUCUUUGUGCGGAUGCAGCUAUUAUUCAUCCCGAUGGGGCCAGCGGCGUUUCUAUGCCUCCAAAAGGUCUUCUGGCUCUUAGUUGCCUCCAUGGAUUUCUGAGGUUAUCUCUAGCCUUUGUUUCCAAAAUUG
rnacentral:lncRNA from 1 species